rnacentral:rRNA from 1 species
ACGGGAGGCAGCAGUGGGGGAUAUUGCACAAUGGGGGAAACCCUGAUGCAGCGACGCCGCGUGAGUGAUGAAGUAUUUCGGUAUGUAAAGCUCUAUCAGCAGGGAAGAAAAUGACGGUACCUGACUAAGAAGCCCCGGCUAACUACGUGCCAGCAGCCGCGGUAAUACGUAGGGGGCAAGCGUUAUCCGGAUUCACUGGGUGUAAAGGGAGCGUAGACGGCAUGGCAAGCCCGAUGUGAAAACCCGCAGCUCAAGGGCGGGCCUGCAUUGGGAACUGUUAAGCUAGAGUUCUGGAGGGGCAGGCGGAAUUCCUGGUGUAGCGGUGAAAUGCGUAGAUAUCAGGAGGAACACCGGUGGCGAAGGCGGCCUGCUGGACGGAUACUGACGUUGAUGCUCGAAAGCGUGGGGAGCAAACAGGAUUAGAUACCCUGGUA